GACGAACGCUGGCGGCGUGCUUAACACAUGCAAGUCGAACGGAAAGGCCCUGCUUUUGUGGGGUGCUCGAGUGGCGAACGGGUGAGUAACACGUGAGUAACCUGCCCUUGACUUUGGGAUAACUUCAGGAAACUGGGGCUAAUACCGGAUAGGAGCUCCUGCGGCAUGGUGGGGGUUGGAAAGUUUCGGCGGUUGGGGAUGGACUCGCGGCUUAUCAGCUUGUUGGUGGGGUAGUGGCUUACCAAGGCUUUGACGGGUAGCCGGCCUGAGAGGGUGACCGGCCACAUUGGGACUGAGAUACGGCCCAGACUCCUACGGGAGGCAGCAGUGGGGAAUAUUGCACAAUGGGCGGAAGCCUGAUGCAGCAACGCCGCGUGCGGGAUGACGGCCUUCGGGUUGUAAACCGCUUUCGCCUGUGACGAAGCGUGAGUGACGGUAAUGGGUAAAGAAGCACCGGCUAGCUACGUG
rnacentral:rRNA from 1 species